rnacentral:rRNA from 1 species
UACGUAGGGUGCGAGCGUUGCCCGGAUUUAUUGGGCGUAAAGGGCGCGUAGGCGGCCACGCACGUCCGUUGUGAAAUCGCCCGGCUCAACUGGGCGGGGUCAGCGGAUACGGUGUGGCUCGAGCAAGCUAGGGGGCAAUGGAAUUCCCGGUGUAGUGGUGGAAUGCGUAGAUAUCGGGAAGAACACCCGUGGCGAAGGCGGCACUCUGGGACGGUACUGACGCUGAGACGCGAAAGCGUGGGGAGCGAACGAGG